CGGUAACCGAGAAGAUGCUCGGCUACUCCUGCCAGCAGCCGCGUAAUUCGAAGUGCUAGGCUGAUCGACUACUAGGCUUAGCGACGUAGCAGCUAUUAGGUCAAGCGUGAAUUCCGCGCUCUACUCCAGCAACUGCGUCGAUACUGUUAGUCCUGAGUAUGAAUGAAGUGACUGAAAUCCGAGUGUCGAGGUGAAAUUCGUAGAUAUCUGCAGGAGCGCCAGUGAGAAGUGCGGCUCACUGGUCCCAUUACUGACGCUGAGGUGCGAAAGCGUCGAGAGCAAACAAGAUUAGAUACCUCGUAGUACACGCCGUAAACGAUGAAUCUACCCAUUUGAGAGUUUACUCUUCGCUGGCGCAGCUCUCGCAUUAAACAUUCCCGCCUGGGGAGUACGGUCGCAAGACUAAAACUCAACAGGAAUUGACGCGCGGCGCGCGCAAGCGGUGGAGCAUGUGUUUAUUUCGCAGCAACGCGCAGAACCAUGCCAGACCUUGACAUGCCGAUCGCGGUUAGUGGAGACACUUUCCUUCAGUUCGGCUGGAUCCGAGACAGGUGCCGCAUGGCUUUCGGCAGCUUGUGUCGUGAGAUGUUGCAUUAAGUCCCACAACGGGCGCAGUCCUCGCCCUUAGUUGCCAGCAUUCAGUUGGGCACUCUAUAAGGACUGCCGGAGAUAAGCCGAGAGGAAGGUGGGGAUGACGUCAAGUCCUCACUCACCUUUCGGGCUGGGCAACACACGUGCUACAAUGGUGGUCGCAGUGGGCAGCGAGCACGCGAGUGUGAGCUAAUCUCCAAAAGCCAUCUCAGUUCGGAUUGCACUCUGCAACUCGAGUGCAUGAAGUGGGAAUCGCUAGUAAUCGCGGCUCAGCAUGCCGCGGUGAAUACGUUCCCGGGCCUUGUACACAUCGCCCGUCACACCAUGGGAGUUGGUAUUACCCGAAGGGGCUGCCUAACC
rnacentral:rRNA from 1 species